rnacentral:lncRNA from 1 species
GGCAGGUCUUGUAGUUCUUGAAACCGUCAAUAAAUCUACUGGCAGUAAUGUCGAUGACCUCCUUCCUAAACUCUACAGAGUCUCGAUACUUUUGAAUGCAGUGGGUCUGAACAUCAGGAGGAAUCUGAUUGAACUGGGAGGUGUGAUGGCCCCUAAGCCUUGGUGGAGACCGUGAGACUGAAGGUGCCCAAUGAGAGGAA